AAUAGAUACCCCGGUAGUCCACGCCGUAAACGAUGAGUGCUAGGUGUCGGAGGGGUACACCUUUCGGUGCCGAAGUCAACACAUUAAGCACUCCGCCUGGGGAGUACGGCCGCAAGGCUGAAACUCAAAGGAAUUGACGGGGACCCGCACAAGCAGUGGAGUAUGUGGUUUAAUUCGAAGCAACGCGAAGAACCUUACCAGGUCUUGACAUCCCCCUGACCGGUGCAGAGAUGUGCCUUUCCUUCGGGACAGGGGAGACAGGUGGUGCAUGGUUGUCGUCAGCUCGUGUCGUGAGAUGUUGGGUUAAGUCCCGCAACGAGCGCAACCCUUGAGCUUAGCUGCCAGCGCGUGAUGGCGGGCACUCUAGGCUGACUGCCGGUGACAAACCGGAGGAAGGCGGGGAUGACGUCAAAUCAUCAUGCCCCUUAUGACCUGGGCUACACACGUACUACAAUGGCCGGUACAAAGGGCCGCGAAGGAGCGAUCCGGAGCCAAUCCCAUAAAGCCGGUCUCAGUUCGGAUUGUAGGCUGC
rnacentral:rRNA from 1 species